rnacentral:rRNA from 1 species
AUGGAGUUGCCACGAAAGUUGCGCCCGCUCAUCAUCAUGGCGAUGCUACUGUUGCUCGUGAUGGCUGCGGAAGGCCAUAAACAUUGUCCAGAGGACUUGUGUGAAGGACCAAGUGGCAAGUUCAAAGGUGCAUGUUCACAGGACGACGAAUGCCAAGAAACAUGUGGGGAAGAGGGUUUUCAUACUGGCUUUUGUAAAGUUGGGCCUUUUAAUGGUGCAUGUAAAUGUUUCUUGUUUCUUCACUAUAACACGUCCGACUUGCUACUGCUUUGGCCCGUGGUAGAAGUCAUAUUUCAUAGCGACGGUCUUGAGGACCGUUGCCAAUCUUCUGUCGUAGAUUGGAAGUACGACGUUUUUACGAGACCGACAUGGAUCCGUGACGAGUUUCGACUGCCUGCCUAG